GACGAACGCUGGCGGCGUGCUUAACACAUGCAAGUCGAACGGAAAGGCCCCUUUUGGGGUCCUCGAGUGGCGAACGGGUGAGUAACACGUGAGUAACCUGCCCUUGACUUCGGGAUAACUUCAGGAAACUGGGGCUAAUACCGGAUAGGAAUCCUUGCUGCAUGGUGGGGGUUGGAAAGCUUCGGCGGUUUUGGAUGGACUCGCGGCUUAUCAGCUUGUUGGUGGGGUAGUGGCUUACCAAGGCUUUGACGGGUAGCCGGCCUGAGAGGGCGACCGGCCACAUUGGGACUGAGAUACGGCCCAGACUCCUACGGGAGGCAGAAGGGGGGAAUAUUGCACAAUGGGCGGAAGCCUGAUGCAGCAACGCCGCGGGCGGGAGGACGGCCUUCGGGUUGUAAACCGCUUUCAGCAGGGGCGAAGCUUGUGGUGACGGUACCUGCAGAAGAAGCACCGGCUAACUACGUG
rnacentral:rRNA from 1 species